rnacentral:rRNA from 1 species
ACGUAGGUGGCGAGCGUUGUCCGGAAUUAUUGGGCGUAAAGCGCGCGCAGGUGGUUAUACAAGUCUCAUUUAAAAGUGCUGAGCUCAACUCAGUGAUGGGUGAGAAACUGUAUGACUUGAGUGCAGGAGGGGUAGGCGGAAUUCCUAGUGUAGCGGUGAAAUGCGUAGAUAUUAGGAGGAACACCAGUGGCGAAGGCGGCCUACUGGACUGCAACUGACACUGAGGCGCGAAAGCCAGGGGAGCAAACGG